rnacentral:rRNA from 1 species
UACGGAGGGUCCAAGCGUUGUCCGGAAUCAUUGGGCGUAAAGAGCGUGUAGGCGGCUUGGUAAGUCCGCUGUGAAAGUCCAGGGCUCAACCCUGGAAUGCCGGUGGAAACUGUCAAGCUUGAGUCCGGAAGAGGCGAGUGGAAUUCCUGGUGUAGCGGUGAAAUGCGCAGAUAUCAGGAGGAACACCAAUGGCGAAGGCAGCUCGCUGGGACGGUACUGACGCUGAGACGCGAAAGCGUGGGGAGCAAACAGG